rnacentral:rRNA from 1 species
GAUGAACGCUAGCGGCAGGCCUAACACAUGCAAGUCGAGGGGUAGAGGUUGCUUGCAACCUUGAGACCGGCGCACGGGUGCGUAACGCGUAUACAAUCUGCCUUGUACUGCGGGAUAGCCCAGAGAAAUUUGGAUUAAUACCUCAUAGUAUCUUUUCCCGGCAUCGGGAGAUUAUUAAAGUUCCAACGGUACAAGAUGAGCAUGCGUCCCAUUAGCUAGUUGGUAUGGUAACGGCAUACCAAGGCAAUGAUGGGUAGGGGUCCUGAGAGGGAGGUCCCCCACACUGGUACUGAGACGCGGACCAGAGUGCUACGGGGGGCAGCAGUGAGGAAAAUUGGUCAAUGGGCGCAAGCUUGAACCAGCCAUGCCGCGUGCAGGAUGAAGCAUCUAUGGUGUGUAAACUGCUUUUAUACGGGAAGAAACACCGGUUCGUGAACCGGCUUGACGGUACCGUAAGAAUAAGGAUCGGCUAACUCCGUGCCAGCCGCCGCGGUAA